rnacentral:rRNA from 1 species
GAAAGGCGCUUUUGCGUCACUGAUGGAUGGACCCGCGGUGCAUUAGCUAGUUGGUGAGGUAACGGCUCACCAAGGCCACGAUGCAUAGCCGACCUGAGAGGGUGAUCGGCCACACUGGGACUGAGACACGGCCCAGACUCCUACGGGAGGCAGCAGUAGGGAAUCUUCGGCAAUGGACGAAAGUCUGACCGAGCAACGCCGCGUGAGUGAAGAAGGUUUUCGGAUCGUAAAACUCUGUUGUUAGAGAAGAACAAGGAUGAGAGUAGAACGUUCAUCCCUUGACGGUAUCUAACCAGAAAGCCACGGCUAACUACGUGCCAGCAGCCGCGGUAAUACGUAGGUGGCAAGCGUUGUCCGGAUUUAUUGGGCGUAAAGCGAGCGCAGGCGGUUUCUUAAGUCUGAUGUGAAAGCCCCCGGCUCAACCGGGGAGGGUCAUUGGAAACUGGGAGACUUGAGUGCAGAAGAGGAGAGUGGAAUUCCAUGUGUAGCGGUGAAAUGCGUAGAUAUAUGGAGGAACACCAGUGGCGAAGGCGGCUCUCUGGUCUGUAACUGACGCUGAGGCUCGAAAGCGUGGGGAGCGAACAGGAUUAGAUACCCUGGUAGUCCACGCCGUAAACGAUGAGUGCUAAGUGUUGGAGGGUUUCCGCCCUUCAGUGCU